GGCGGCGAUCACGAGCCGAAGCCCAUUUAACCUGAAAUCUGAAGUGAGCCAGUCCUUUUAUCAACUGCACGGCUCAGAUGUAGAAGUCACGGAGGGUUGUUGUUAGUAUACGCCUUAAAACUGCUUCAGCGGUUCAGUCGUAGAUAGAAGCAUGACUUAUUAUUAUGUGCCAAAUGGUGUACACCUGUAUGUGCCAGAUGGUGGAUAAUGUCUGUCUGACCUUCAGGAGCAAUCCUGAAGAUGGCACAACAACGGAUCCAGCUAUGUAAUUACAGGAGAAUCGUCCUUUAACACCCUGCAUCAAGUCAUUGGUGAAAAUUGCCAUGGCUUAAGCUUCAGAGAUUGAUUGUAGCAGCUGUAACAAACUGAAGAGUUGUGGUCUGAACACAUACAUUGCAGGUGCAACUACUUGCUGGAUGGAGUAUUAAAUCCCCCCUCCCUUCUGGAAAUAAGCUGCAUACACCAGUGAGAGAUUCACUAAUGUUGGACAAGAUAUUAAUGUCUUUGCAAUAUUCUUAUGGAUUACUGAAGUGCUAUGCUUAUGUAUUCUGACAUGAUCUUGUCCUUUUUUAAAGAAAUAAAAAUAUUCUAUUUCUAAA